GCGAAGUUAAAUUGGUGUUAUGCUGUUAUUAUUUUUAUUACUCGGUUUUUGCUUUGCUUCAAGCGCCAUAGCCAGCUGCGUACCAAUUACAUGCGUUUCUAGUGGUUAUGGAUGCAUGCCGUGGACAACUUGCCCUAGAAGGUAUUGGGUGCUCCUACCAGGAUGUAGUGGCCGGUCUAUUUGCUGCAACUUGAAAAAAAUGAAUACCUGCUCCUCGGCUGGUGGAACCUGUCGAAACAGAUGCGAUUUUGAAAAUAACCGGAAGAAAUGUCCUGGAAACCUCAAGUGUUGUGUGGAUUUGGAGCGCUGAGCAGCUGAUGUCACGGCUUGCAAGCACGCCGAUUGCAAUGACGGCCUUAGGAGCGACUCCGUACCGGCCACUGUGCAAGUUUCGCGCCUCAAAUCAAGACGUUGGUCAGUAC